AUGAUGCGCCCCAAGGAUCAGGCACUAGUGGAAUUAUGUGACCCAGAAAGGCUCCAGGUGUGUCUGAGGCUUCAAAGCCUGCCGAUGCUCUCUCUGGCGCUCAGAGCCCUCACCAUGUUGUCAGAGAGACCUAAGAUGGGAAGAAAAUUGUUCUUCCUGCUGCCGGACGUGAUGAAUACACUGCUGUAUGACAACACACACAUCACUGAGAAGGCCCUGACUGUCUUCGAAAACGUGAUCGGUCAUCUGGAGAAGAGGGAGGCCAGCCCCAUCGCUCUGGCACUGGCUGAGAGACUCCUGCCUCUUUUUAACAACGAGUCCAGUGAGGUGCAAGAGCGCUCCAUUCUUCUCUUCAAAGACUUGAUGGAGUGUGUGGUGUGGUGGAAAAAAGGAGAAAUGAAGAAGACCAUGCGCAGGGCCCUUAUUCCACUGUUGUUCCGGAUGAGUGAUGAGACUGAGAGCGUGGCCAAGGCGUCAGCAGUAGUCCUACUUGCUUGUACAAUGUUCCUGAAGUGGAAACAGCUUGAGCACCUGGCUCAGAACGAAGACAUCACUAGGAUUAGGGAGUACUUGCUCAAGCAGAAGAGCAGCAGGGUGGACGAAUACCUGCAGCAGAGCCUGCCAUACCUGGAGGAUGCUCAGGCCAACUUGCGACAGGAGGCUGUCAAAUUCAUCGGGCUUGCUGUCUACCAUGCUGGCAUCCAGAGUGAGGAGAAGCUGAAUGAGCUCAUCCAAGGUGAGUGCGGGCGGUGCUGGGGGUGCUGCGCCCAGUGGAGAGGGGGCAGAGCCCACGCAGUGUGCAGCCAUGCCUUGCCCUGCUCCAGGGAAAUGCUGCAGUGGCAGAGGGAUGUGGGGGGACAUGUGGGAUGCUCCUGAGCAGCAGCUUCCAGCUGAUCCCUUUAUCCCACUUGCUCCCCGUGGCCAGGGAAGGAGACAGGUGGGGCUGGCAUGGUCUGGAGGCAUGCCGGGGGGGUCUCUGCCAGUCGAUGGGUUUCAUCUCUGCUCACUUUCUUACUGUCACAGCCCUCCAGCCUUUGGAAGAUGAUGCCCAUGAGCGGAUCCGUCACCUGGCAGCUGGGACCAUCGAGAUCCUGAGACAUCAUAGGCAGCAGCCAGCAUCACAAAGGACUUGGCUCGCAGCACUGUGCUGCUGGCCCUGAAAAGCCAGGGGUCUGUCGAGCUCCCCUGCAAAAAAUGUGUCUUUAUAAAACUGUGUAGUGUGUUUACGUGGCAAGGUUUUGGUAUCAGUGGACCAUAGGGUUGGCUUCUGUGAGAAGAAUCUAGAUGCCCCAUGUUAGAUAAGGGCCCUGCUGCUGACCAGAGCCAAGCCAAUAAACGAUGUUGUUUGUGCCUCUGCA
ensembl:lncRNA